CACGUAGGGCGCAAGCGUUGUCCGGAAUUAUUGGGCGUAAAGAGCUCGUAGGCGGACUGUCACGUCCGCUGUGAAAAGCUAGGGCUUAACCCUGGCCUUGCAGUGGAUACGGGCAGACUAGAGGUAGGUAGGGGAGAAUGGAAUUCCCGGUGUAGCGGUGAAAUGCGCAGAUAUCUGGAGGAACACCGGUGGCGAAGGCGGCAUCCUGGACCGGCAUUGACGCUGAGGCGCGAAAGCUAGGGGAGCAAACGGG
rnacentral:rRNA from 1 species